rnacentral:lncRNA from 1 species
GGCUUAUGUCUGUGGUGAUCAAAGUUUGUUGGGAAAUCUUUUCUUCCAGAACAGGCUUUUACUGCUAGAAGUAUUCUGAACAUCUGUUAGGUUGUUGUUAAGCCAUAGUUCGUGUCUUGUGCUUACAGGUAAUUCUGGAUCUCUGAUGUUUGUAAUGUGGUGUGAUGAGUAUGUAAAAGUAGACAUGCAGGAGAUUGAGAGGUAAGAACAAAUUGCUCUCAGUGCUAGGAUAAUUACUGUUCCUAGUUUCACAGUCCUAAGCCUGGUUUGCAGGUGGACCUGCAGUUCUCCUGUCCAUUACUUCUAGCAACAGAAGCCAAAGGAGCCUUAUUUCAAUGAGGUUUUUUCAAAUAGUUUUUGUGACCAAUUGGAAGAAAGAGCAUUAAUAUGUUAAAUUGAAACCAUUCCUGAGAUACUGUAAAUGAAACAAUGCAUCUAUAAUAAAAUGCCAGCUAAUAUACAAGCCAGGCACAUAGACUAAAUAGAAGUUGUUCCAAAACUCUCCACAAAUUUGUCAAAAUAAUGCUUCUUUUUAGUGAGCAGUUAAUGUGUAUUUGUAUCCAAAAUAGAAGGUCCAUACAUAUCACUAAGCACCACAGCUUACCAUCUGAAUCAGGAAUGCAUAUAAAGUAUUUUUGGUUUCAUGCUAUUUUUCAAUAUAUGCUGUUUCAGCAUUUGAAGCCAGUAUCUAAAAUCAGCUUAAAUAAUAGGUACUAUUACAGACUCUAAUGCUGAUGUGAAUUAAGGCUUAAUUAGGUUACCCCCAGAAACUAGGGGACAUGCUUCUAGCCACCCUUCUAUAAAAUAAUCUUUUGUUGUUUCUAUCUUAUUUCCAUUAUCCAUUUAUGUAGCUAAAUCAAUCAACUGAAAUUAUCUAUUUUCAGUAACUCAAAUUAAUAUGAAGAAUUGUGCUAAUAAGAUGGUAACUGAAACAUCAAUUAAGUCAAAUUAAUGAAAGGUAUAUGUGAAAAUCCACAGAUACUGGAACAUCCUAUUUAUCAGG